CGCCUUCCUUCCCAGCCCAAGGCAGCGCGGGCGGCUACCGGGACUGGCGGCUGCAGCUGAGGCCGCUUUUGGCGCCCUGGGGGCGGCUUGAGGUCCACUCGGCCUUAGGCUCUGACCUGGGGCCGUUCAUCUUCCUCUCGCGAUGCCUGUUUGGAGCUCCGCUCUUGCCCUUCCAGCCUCUGUACAAACUUUUCUCCUGCUUCAAGUUUCCCUGGCGGAGGCGGGGCCACACUGUGCGCGGCCCGGGCGCCCAUUGGCCAGACCGGGAGGGGGCGGGGCGCGUGCUAGCUCCUCUGCGCGGCGAGGAAGCUCCGCGGGCAGGAGGGAGGGGCUCCGGGCUGCGCGGAUCCCACCGCGCCUCGGCGGGCGGCUCCCUGCAGCUUUCCCGCCCUCCAACGAGGUAGGGGAGGGGGUGUUGGAGACUUGGUCCUCUCGCCUCAGGCAGGUGGUGCGGAGAAGCAGUGGUCCGCGGGAACCCUGGGGAAGCCCCAGUGCUCUUCUGUGCACCCUCUUAGGUACUCUGAAGUCGGCAUCCAGCGGGGCCAGCUCUGAAACCGGCAUCUCUUCUUCCUCACUGCCUCCCGCUCCAAGUGGGCUGUUUCUCGCACCUACUUCACGCGGGUCGCAACAUCUGGGUGCUGGGAAGGGAGGUCAGCGGCUUAGGACUCUACUUUGGAACGCCCGAGAUACCUUCAACACGAAUCCUUGGAAAGGCUGAUGCAGAGCGAGACUGGGAUUUGAAAGUUUUUCGAGUAAAGGAAUCAACUCUAACCCUGGUCAACUCUUGGAAAAGCCCAAUUGCUCUACCUUUUCACUUUGAAUUACACUAUAAUUUCUUCUGUGAUGGGAACAGUUUUUUUGACGACGCGUUAUUCACUUCCUCCUGUUCUACCUCCUGAAUUUGAAGACCAUUUUGUAUGCGAAAACCUCUGGAGAAAGAAAAUUGACGUUGCUUUGACCAAUUUAGUUUUGACAGCCAACAGCAAGUUUUCAAAUUAUGAAGAAUGGAAGAUUUUGAAAGAUUUAUAUGAGUUUAAUACUGUCACUCUCCUCAAAGUAAAGUAAUAGAUUUAUACUUCUGCCUGAAAAUCUCUCUUUGGAAACGGUUUGAUGUCCUUUGGCUAUCAAACCAGAUAACUUUGCAUAUACUUAGAGUUUUUAUCAAGCCAUGAUAGUGUAUCCUAUAGUACAGAUACUUAAAUUCUAGUGUAUAUAAAUUGGGUUUCCCUCAAUGCUCUUUAAGACACAGGUUCAAGGGGCCCAGCUAGGACUUACUGAAUCAGCACUUGUAUUUUCAUGAGCAUCUCGGGUGAUGCUGAGGCAUGCAAACGGCUCCUGAACCACUCUUUGAGGAAUGUUGCUCUAGAGGAUAAAUGUCUCUAAUUGAAGAAAGGAGUUCUGAAGCAGUUACCGUCCAAGAAAACCCUUCUACAUAGCGUGACCUCAGUUUUCUAAAUGUGCAUUCAAGUAUGUUUCGCCCUUUCUUCCUUUCUAGCCUUUCCUAGUGUAGACCUAGACACAUGGUAUUUAACACAGGAGUGGUGCAGUUUAGGUAACCAGAACAGGAAACAUCCAACUCAAAACACACCCCUUGAUUGCAACACCUUUGGAACUGACCUGGUAGAAUAGGUCUAGCUUUUCAAAGGAUCACCCUUAGCUUAUUUACCUUGGCAAUCUUAUGGGCAUAUUAUCUGUAUAAUUGUGGUAGCCAGGUAAAACACUGUAACUUAAGAUUUUACGUGACUAUACAAGUAGCAAUAAAAUGGAAACAGACACACAAUGGACUCCCUCCCAGAUAGUAUUCUAUUUAACCUAAGUUCACCUCUUUGGUGCUGCAGCUAUGUAAUUGGAUCGUUUUAUAAAAGUCUUGAUAAUUCACAUUGUUAGUCAAAAGAAAAGUUCAGAAAAUUAUUCCUCUGUUUCCUUUCUCUAGACACUGACUAACAUUAGAGUUCGUAUGCUUUUGGAGAGUCAUUUUAGAAAAAGCAGAAUGACUAUUAAGCAGUAAAAUAUUAGGUAAUAACUCACAGAAAAAUUUAUAUGGGAUUUGACUUUGACUUUUUGACCAGGGAUUGAACCUGCGCCCCCUGCAUUGGAAGUGUGGCAUCUUAAGCACUGGUCUGCCAGGGAAGUCCCCUAAAUUUUCUUGAUUAGAAGUUUUGCUUGUUCUGUUACACUUGAUGGAUUAAAGUCUUAGUGAUUCUGACCCCUUGGUAUUGCUUGAAUCCAUUUACUUCUCUCCAUCUCCACUACCAAGGCUGAUCCACUUUCUUUCCCCUCCUGGUCUACAUUCAGAGGCUCCUAAUUGUUCCCCAUUCUAUUCGUGUCCCUUUCUAAUCAAUUCUCCAUGUGAACUUCAGAGUGGUCAUUUAAUAAAAUACACUGGAUCAUGUUAUUCUUCAGCCUUCAGAGCCUUUCCUCAGCUAAAAACUCCUCAUCAUGGCCCACAAGUUUCUGCGUGAUCUGCUUCUGGCCUCCCUUUCCAACCUCAACUCAAUCCCAUCUCCCUCCUGCUCAUGACACUCGAGUCACAUUGCCUCCCUCAUCCCCUUGGUUCUUUGAUCCAUCCAUGCCUUCCCCUAACUCAAGGCCUUGGUGCAAGCUCUUUGCUCUGCCUGAAAGUCUCUUCCCACAAUUUCAGCUGGCUAAAGCCUGCCCCUCUUUUAGAUCUAUGCUUAAAUGCCACAUCCUUAUAGAGAUCCUCCAAAUCUAAAUUGCAUCUCUCUCAUUUUUCUCCUCAUUGCAUACUCUUUUCUCUCAGUACUUACAACGAUCUGUACAUAUAAAUGCACGUGUUUGUUAAUAUCUGCCUUUCCCACUAGUCUAUCUUGAGAGAAAAAUUAUGCUCACGUUGUUCAUUACUAUAUCCAAGUGCCUACGAGAGCACCUGGCCCUGAAUGAAUAAAAGUAAAGAUUUGUAAUUACCCAGUGUAUUAGUUAUCUACUGCUGUGUAACAGAUUAAUGCACAAACUUAGAUAUUAACUUAAAAUGGAUGGCUGUGGUUCAGAGAAUCUUAUGAGUUGUAGUCAAGGUGUCAGCCAAGAGUGUACGCAUCUGAGGGCCUGGGUGGGGCUGGAGGAUCUUUUCUAAGAGGGCUCACUAACUAAUUUUUCUGUGGGUUAUUAAGGCUAUUGGCAGGAGGCCUCAGUUACCUUCCACAGGGGCUGGCUCCGUAGGGCUAAUGUGACAGCUGACUUCUCCCAGAGAGAUGAUCCAAGGGAGAAGGAGAUUAAGGAGGAGGCCAUCUAUAACCUAAUUUUGGCUAUCACAUAUUGUUACUUUUACUGCAUCUUAUUUGUUAAAAGCAAGUCAGUAAGUAUAGGUCACUCUUAAAGGGAGAGAAAAUAGCUCCAUCUUGGAAGGGAGGAGCAUCAAAGAAUUUAUGGACAUAUUUGAAAACCAUCACAGUUCUUCCUCUGGCCACAAAUUACUUUUAAUGUCUCCACAUGCAAAAUAUACUAAACUCUUCCCCUUACCCCUGAAGAGUCUCAUUCACUUAAAUUAUCAGCUUAAAAUCCACGAUGUUGGCUUCAAAAUCAGGUCCAAGUGUGGAGAGAUUCCUUGGGUGUAGUCCCCUUUAAUACCAUUCCCCUUGAUCUGAAGAUGUAUAAACUGAAGAGACAUGUUAUCUACUCCUCCUGCAGCCAACAUGCAAUGGCGAGAUGAGCCUGGUGUAACCACUGUAGACCCCCCUGUUGAGAAAGGGGAACAUGCAGUGUGCACAGGAGUGCUUGGCCCAUGGCAAUU